AAGAAUGAGUUUUGUUGACGUUUUUGUGUUGAUUUAAUUAUUCCUGUUGAAACAGACCAGACUCGUAAUGAAGACAUCACUUACGCUGAUCCAACGUUCUACCAACGAAAAGCACAGAAAUCGGAAGUCAAGCAGGAGGAAGAGGUGGUGUACGCAGGCGUCGUCAUCAAACGUUGAUCAAACAGUUCAUUUAUGAUGUUGCGAUCACAGACAGAACUGUUUACUUUGGAUUAUGAAGAAUUAUAAAGCUGUAUCUGUGCCAAAUUGUUUUUUUUUCAUAUUUCUAUUGUCCAGAAAGUAUUCAUGCACAUAUGAAGUCACUGCAGCAGUGUUAAAGCAUUAGCUACUAGCUUGAAACUCAUCAUUAUGAAGCUAUGUUAAAUCUUUUAAUAAAGUCAGACCCAGGGUUAUAUAUUGUAUUUAUUUUUCAUCAAUUAAAUAUUUGCUAUCUUACA